rnacentral:rRNA from 1 species
UACGAAGGGUGCUAGCGUUGCUCGGAAUUACUGGGCGUAAAGCGUUUGUAGGCGGCUAUAUAAGCCAGUGGUGAAAGCCCAGGGCUCAACCCUGGAAUUGCCAUUGGGACUGUAUAGCUAGAGGAUGUUAGAGGUAAGUGGAAUUCCUAGUGUAGGAGUGAAAUCCGUAGAGAUUAGGAGGAAUAUCGAUGGCGAAGGCAGCUUACUGGGACAUUUCUGACGCUGAGAAACGCAAGCGUGGGUAGCAAACAGG